GAUAGAGGUUGCGGAUCUGAUGAGUACCCCGUGAUAUACGCCGGCAAGCGGUCGCGGGAGAAAGGCUGCUCCGCCGAAGCGGUUUUGCGAUUGCCGUCGUGAGCUUGCUGGGACUGCGCUUAACAGGCGCAGGACUGUCACAUACCUCGUAUGUGGAGCACUAUC
rnacentral:ncRNA from 1 species